AUUGAACGCUGGCGGCAUGCCUUACACAUGCAAGUCGAACGGCAGCACGGGGGCAACCCUGGUGGCGAGUGGCGAACGGGUGAGUAAUACAUCGGAAUGUACCCAGUAGUGGGGGGAUAACUAGUCGAAAGAUUAGCUAAUACCGCAUACGCACUAUGGUGGAAAGCGGGGGAUCGCAAGACCUCGCGCUAUUGGAGCAGCCGAUGUCCGAUUAGGUAGUUGGUGGGGUAAAAGCCUACCAAGCCUGCGAUCGGUAACUGGUCUGAGAGGACGACCAGUCACACUGGGACUGAGACACGGCCCAGACUCCUACGGGAGGCAGCAGUGGGGAAUUUUGGACAAUGGGGGAAACCCUGAUCCAGCAA
rnacentral:rRNA from 1 species